AACACAUGUUGCGAACACUUCCUGAGCAAUCUCUUGAACCUAUCCCAUGCCUCAUAAAGGGAUUCAUUGUCCUUCUGAGCAAAGCAAGCUAUAUCAGAUUUAAGUUU